rnacentral:rRNA from 1 species
CAGUAGCCACGGUAAUACGGAGGGGGCUAGCGUUGUUCGGAAUUACUGGGCGUAAAGCGCACGUAGGCGGCUGUGUAGGUCAGAGGUGAAAGCCCGGGGCUCAACCCCGGAAUAGCCUUUGAGACUGCAUAGCUUGAACACGGGAGAGGUGAGUGGAAUUCCGAGUGUAGAGGUGAAAUUCGUAGAUAUUCGGAAGAACACCAGUGGCGAAGGCGGCUCACUGGACCGUUGUUGACGCUGAGGUGCGAAAGCGUGGGGAGCAAACAGGAUUAGAUACCCGAGUAGUCCCUGUCUCUUAUAC